rnacentral:rRNA from 1 species
UACGUAGGGGGCUAGCGUUGUCCGGAAUCAUUGGGCGUAAAGCGCGUGUAGGCGGUCCGGUAAGUCCGCUGUGAAAUCCCCGGGCUCAACCCGGGAACUGCGUCCGAUACUGGUUGGCUUGAAUCCGGGAGAGGGAUGCGGAAUUCCAGGUGUAGCGGUGAAAUGCGUAGAUAUCUGGAGGAACACCGGUGGCGAAGGCGGCAUCCUGGACCGGCAUUGACGCUGAGGCGCGAAAGCCAGGGGAGCAAACGGG